AGUGUGUGGCUGCAUUGCAAGGGUGGACUGAGCCGUCGGUCAAUCGGGCACUGCCCAAGGGCCCAGAGCUCUGAGGGGCCCGCACUCUACAUGUUAACUCUACUAAAACAUACAUUUACAUAUACAAUGCUAAGGGGCCUGGUAAACAGUUAUGCCCCAGGGCC